UACGUAGGGUGCGAGCGUUAAUCGGAAUUACUGGGCGUAAAGCGUGCGCAGGCGGUUCGUCGUGUCUGAUGUGAAAGCCCCGGGCUCAACCUGGGAAUGGCAUUGGAAACUGGCGGGCUUGAGUGUGGCAGAGGGGGGUGGAAUUCCGCGUGUAGCAGUGAAAUGCGUAGAGAUGCGGAGGAACACCGAUGGCGAAGGCAGCCCCCUGGGCUGACACUGACGCUCAGGCACGAAAGCGUGGGGAGCAAACAGG
rnacentral:rRNA from 1 species